rnacentral:lncRNA from 1 species
CUGGUGCUGUCACUGGUUGUUCUAAGCAUCGCCGCCGCCCCCAUCAUCGGCCUAGACUCCUUCCUGACCCACCAAUCCCGCAUCGACCCUCGCGCCUCCAACGAUUCCUUCCUCUCCCUCCCUUCCUCCAUCAAGAAAUCCCUCUCUACUCCAUCACCUCUCUCCCUCUCCCUCUCUCUCCCUCCCAUCCCCAUCUCCCUCUCCAUCCACCUCAUCGGCGACUUCCCCUCCGACACCUCCUCCCUCCUCUCCUCCUUC